rnacentral:rRNA from 1 species
CCUACGGGAGGCAGCAGUGGGGAAUCUUCCGCAAUGGGCGCAAGCCUGACGGAGCAACGCCGCGUGAAUGAAGAAGGCCUUCGGGUCGUAAAGUUCUGUCUUUAGGGACGAACGUGCACAUGCGAAUAGUGUGUGUAUUGACGGUACCUUAGGAGGAAGCUCCGGCUAACUACGUGCCAGCAGCCGCGGUAAU